GGCUCAGAACGAACGCUGGCGGCGCGUUUAAGCAUGCAAGUCGAGCGGCAAGGGCCGUCGGCCCUAGAGCGGCGGACGGGUGAGUAACACGUGGACAAUCUGCCCCCCGGCCCGGGAUAGCCCAGGGAAACCUGGAUUAAUACCGGAUGAGACGGGACCCGCGAUGGCGGGAUCCGGGAAAGGCGCUGCGGCGCCGCCGGGGGAUGAGUCUGCGUCCCAUUAGCUAGACGGCGGGGUAACGGCCCACCGUGGCGACGAUGGGUAGCCGGCCUGAGAGGGUGGACGGCCACAUUGGAACUGAGACACGGUCCAGACUCCUACGGGAGGCAGCAGCUAAGAAUCUUCCGCAAUGGGCGAAAGCCUGACGGAGCGACGCCGCGUGAACGAAGAAGGCCGUGAGGUUGUAAAGUUCUUUUCGGGAGGGGGAACAACCGUGGCAGGGAAUGGCCGCGGGAUGACGUGAAUCCCGGAAUAAGCCCCGGCUAACUACGUGCCAGCCGCGGC
rnacentral:rRNA from 1 species